UACGGGGGGGGCAAGCGUUGUUCGGAAUUACUGGGCGUAAAGCGCACGUAGGCGGUUUGUUAAGUCGGAUGUGAAAUCCCUCGGCUCAACUGAGGAAGUGCAUCCGAAACUGGCAGGCUUGAGUACUAAAGAGGGUCGCGGAAUUCCCGGUGUAGAGGUGAAAUUCGUAGAUAUCGGGAGGAACACCGGUGGCGAAGGCGGCGACCUGGGUAGAUACUGACGCUGAGGUGCGAAAGCGUGGGGAGCAAACAGG
rnacentral:rRNA from 1 species